rnacentral:rRNA from 1 species
CAUGCAGUCGAGCGGUGCACAGAAAAGCUUGCUUCUUGGGUGACGAGCGGCGGACGGGUGAGUAAUGCAUACGAAUCUGCCCGAUAGUGGGCGAUAACCUGGGGAAACCCAGGCUAAUACCGCAUACGUCCUACGGGAGAAAGGGGGCUUCGGCUCCCGCUAUUGGAUGACCCUAUGUCGGAAUAGCUAUUUGGUGAGGUAAAGGCUCACCAAGGCAACGAUCCCUAGCUGGUCUGAGAGGAUGAACACCCACCUCGGGACUGAAAAAGGGCCCGAACUCCUACCGGAGGGAGUAGUGGGGAAUAUUGGACAAUGGGCGCAAGCCUGAUCCAGCCCUGCCCCGUGUGUGAAGAAGGCCCUCGUUUUGGGAAUCACUUUCAAAUAUGAAAAAACGCUAGCGGUUAAUUCCCGCUAGGAAUGACAUCUUUCGGAUAAGAAGCACCGGCUUACUUCUUGGUAUUCCCGCGGUAAUACGGAGGGUGGGGGGUUAUCGGAAUUUCUGAUUGUAAACACGCGCCGGCGGCUUGAUAGGCCGGGUGUGUAA